UACGUAGGCAGCGAGCGUUGUUCGGAAUUACUGGGCGUAAAGAGUGUGUAGGCGGUGCUCUAAGUUCGGUGUGAAAUCUCCUGGCUCAACUGGGAGGGUGCGCCGGAAACUGGAGUGCUUGAGCGUGGGAGAGGAAAGCGGAAUUCCUGGUGUAGCGGUGAAAUGCGUAGAUAUCAGGAGGAACACCUGUGGUGUAGACGGCUUUCUGGACCAUAGCUGACGCUGAGACACGAAAGCGUGGUAGCAAACAGG
rnacentral:rRNA from 1 species